rnacentral:tRNA from 1 species
AGUAGUGCUGCUAAUUGAUUCGCUGCGACCUUUUAAAAUCAAAUGGUUACAGUUCAGCUUGCGGAUUGAAAAUCCCCGUGUCGGCGGUUCGAUUCCGUCCUCGGCCACCA